rnacentral:misc_RNA from 1 species
GAUGAAGAACGUAGCGAAAUGCGAUACUUGGUGUGAAUUGCAGAAUCCCGUGAACCAUCGAGUCUUUGAACGCAAGUUGCGCCCGAAGCCAUUAGGCCGAGGGCACGCCUGCCUGGGUGUCACACGUCGUUGCCCCCCCAUCUACUCCUUUGGGAUUGCGGGGGGCGGAUGAUGGCCUCCCGUGCGCCUCGUCGCGCGGUUGGCAUAAAUGCCAAGUCCUCGGCGACGCACGCCACGACAAUCGGUGGUUGCGAAACCUCGGUUGCCCGUCGUGUGCGGUCGUCGCGCAUCGAGGGCUCGAAAAAAUUGCCGGGCUCCGGCUCGGCUUUCAACGCGACCCCAGGUCAGGCGGGGUUACCCGCUGAAUUUAAGCAUAUCAAUAAGCGGAGGA